ACACGACUACAUUAGAUACCCCCGUAGUCCCAGCCCUAAACGAUGCGCGUUAGGUGUAUCGGUGACCACGAGUCACCGAGGUGCCGAAGGGAAACCGUGAAACGUGCCGCCUGGGAAGUACGGUCGCAAGGCUGAAACCUAAAGGAAUUGGCGGGGAGCACCACAACGGGUGGAGCCUGCGGUUUAAUUGGAUUCAACGCCGGAAAUCUUACCGGGACCGACAGCAACAUGAAGGCCAGGCUGAAGACUUUGCCGGAUUAGCUG
rnacentral:rRNA from 1 species